rnacentral:sRNA from 1 species
UUUUCGCCUGAAUAAAAGAGGAUGAAAACCUCCGAAGGAGGGUUGCGCCGAGCGCAGCGAGACAACGUUGCGAACGCAACGGUCCGAAGGGGCGCGUAAUCCUCUCUCGCCGACCA